rnacentral:tRNA from 1 species
UGGGAAAUGGUGCAAUGGUAGCACGACUGACUCUGGAUCAGUUAAUCGUGGUUCGAAUCCACGUUUCCCAGC